rnacentral:rRNA from 1 species
CACUCCUGCGGGAGGCAGCAGUGGGGAAUAUUGGACAAUGGGCGCAAGCCUGAUCCAGCCAUGCCGCGUGAGUGAUGAAGGCCCUAGGGUUGUAAAGCUCUUUCACCGGUGAAGAUAAUGACGGUAACCGGAGAAGAAGCCCCGGCUAACUUCGUGCCAGCAGCCGCGGUAAUACGAAGGGGGCUAGCGUUGUUCGGAUUUACUUGGCGUAAAGCGCACGUAGGCGGACUAUUAAGUCAGGGGUGAAAUCCCGGGGCUCAACCCCGGGACUGCCUUUGAUACUGGUAGUCUUGAGUUCGAGAGAGGUGAGUGGAAGUCCGAGUGUAGAGGUGAAAUUCGUAGAUAUUCGGAGGAACACCAGUGGCGAAGGCGGCUCACUGGCUCGAUACUCACGCUGAGGUGCGAAAGCGUGGGGAGCAAACAGGAUUAGAAACCCCAGUAGUCCC